rnacentral:rRNA from 1 species
UACGAAGGGGGGCUAGCGUUGCUCGGAAUCACUGGGCGUAAAGCGCACGUAGGCGGACUCUUAAGUCGGUGGUGAAAUCCUGGAGCUCAACUCCAGAACUGCCUUCGAUACUGAGAGUCUCGAGUCCGAGAGAGGUGAGUGGAACUGCGAGUGUAGAGGUGAAAUUCGUAGAUAUUCGCAAGAACACCAGUGGCGAAGGCGGCUCACUGGCUCGGUACUGACGCUGAGGUGGCGAAAGCGUGGGGAGCAAACAGGG